AAUCAUUAUUGCAGUGGUGAUGUGACCCUUUAUCUUGAGUCAUCAGACUGACCUAGAAUAGUUAACCGACUCCCUCAGCGGUAGUCUUGCAACCCUCUCGAGAGGGUCCAGGCGACUACAACAA
rnacentral:lncRNA from 1 species